CAGAUGAUUUUCUUUCCUCCUUUUCUUCAUCCAUUGUUCCCAUCCACAAACCCUAAAACUCAUCUAAUGUGGCGAUAUCAUCUUACAAUCCGAUUCGGUGCCUAUCAAAAGCUUUUCCUUUCAUAUAUACUCCAUCUGCGAUCCAUCUCUAUCUGCGAUUCAUCUCCAUCGACGAUUCAUCUCAUACCGCUUCAGAUAGUUAAUAGAUUUUGUGGAUUCUGUAGACUGAUUUAGGUAAAAGUUAAUGAUGGCUGGAUUGCUGUUGGCCGAGAACCCUGAUGAUGGUGCCUAGGGUUGCAAUCAACUUUCGCAAGUUUCUGACGGAUUUAGGUAAAGGUCGAUAAUGGCUGGAUUGGUGUUGGCCAAGAACCCAGAUGAUGGCGGCUAGGGUUCUGAUUUAUUAGCAGCAGCGGCAGAUGUUCUUCUUAAUUCGGCCGGCGGCUGUUAGGGUUCAGGAACUUGCCUGUAUAAGCACAUCCAAACACUCAAAACAGGCAUCAUAAUUAUUAGGAUAGUCGCAACAACGAGAAGUGGAUGUGUAUAUCUCCAGUGAACAAGAAGAAGAGGAUGUGCUUCUCUUCAAUAUAGUUCAACGGCAAUAGAAGUAAGAAGAAUAAGAGGCCGGCAUCUUCAACGUAUAAGAAGAGAAAGGGGAGAUUCAUUGUUGAGUUAAAGGACAUGAGGAAGGUUAGUAGUAACGAUGAGGUAUAUGUAUAGCUUCUCUUCCUGAUUCAGCAUGUUAUUGCGUACGGUAAAGUGGUUAUGUGGUUGUUUGAAUGCUUAAGUCACGUUGGUUUGAUCCAUGGCUGCAAAAACAUAUAUUAAGUUAAGGCGACAUGCUUGAGUGGUUCAUGGCUGCAAAUAGAUAUCAUAAACAAGGCGGAAUGCUUAAGUGGUUCGGGGCUGAAUCAUGUGUACAAACCGUGAGUUCGAAAAGUAGUCUUAGGGAAUAUCAAAGGUGAGUUUUAUACGCCCCCAUUAUGGUACUUUAAUGGGUUUUGAGGCUGUUCACAUACUCUUCUGAUAAAUGUUUUUACAAAAUUGAUUUUAUAAGGUUGUGAUGAUUAUUAAACUAAAACAUGACUUUUAAUGAAGUUUGGGGCUGCUGUGAUUAAAAUUUUUAGAAACAAGUUUAGAUGUAUAACUAAAUGUGAUAUAAGUUAGAAGAUCGUUUUAGUGUACUAUCAAGGUUAAUUACAAUUAUUGGUUGUACAGAUAGAUUUGUUGUCGGAGUUUUAGGAUUUACUUUUGAGUUUUUGUUUUGUUUGAGUUUACACCAGGUAUAUGGGCUUUUAAGGAGAAAUCAAAUCUAAGGAUUAUCAUCGAACAUCUUUUGAAACCAUCAGGUUUGUGUCUAUAUGGAACUUUUAAGUAGUAUGGUCUAUAUUUUCAUCGAAACCAUCAAGUUUGUGUCUAUAUGUAACUUUUAAGAUUUCAUUAGUUUUAUUUCCUAACUUUUAAGUGGUUUGUGAUUUGGACCAAAUUGGGCGAUUGAUAAGGUUAGUGAGAAGAAGGGGUAUAUGUUGCCUAGGGCGAAGAUGGAGAGUGCGGAUUUGGCGAGGGUUAUUAAUUUGGGAUGAGGUACAAUCAGUGGUGAAGUCGAUUACGAUGUAGGUGAAGAGGGCACCGAUGAAGAACAAUUUGUUGAAAAAUUUAAUACUAUGUUAAGGUUGAAUUUGUAUCCAUUAGUGUCAUAUCCACCACCGGUCUAUGCCGCCCCAUACCCGCCAGUUGGAGGCUGCCCUGCACUGACUUUCUACCCUUCAUACCUGUCUAAAUCAGGUGGUUAUCCACCAGCUCCAUACCCUCUUCUGGCUGCUCCUUAUGGUCAGCCCUAUCCACCUAAUUUAGCUUAUCCUUCCCAACCAUAUGGUUCCGAGUAUCCCCCAAAUUGGGAACAUGCGCGUCAUACCACAGAAGUUAGGAUUCAAUAACAUACAGUCCAUGAUGAAGUAUGAUUACAAUAAAAAUCAUGACCAUAUGGUUCCCAAUAUCCCUCUCCUGGUAAGUCUUUAAUCAUGUCUCAGACUUUUGUUUUUUCUAUUAAAAAUGAUUAAUGACUUAAAAUGGUGCAUGAUGACUGUCACCAUAUUGUUUAUAGUCAUUUAUGUAUAGAUUUACAUAUGUUUAUUUGUGUAUAUAAUAAAAAUAUAUAUUGUUUAUGCUAAAAAACUAAUACGUGACUGAUAAUUCAAAUAUCACAUAAAUAUGUGCAAGACCGUUUUACUUCAUUGGCCCUUUGAGGAAGUCGACCCGUUGAAGAAACAGAUAGAAAGACCAGGACCGUUUUACUUCAUUGGCCCGACCCGUUAAUGAAACGGAUAGAAAGGCUAGGACCGUUUUACUUCAUUGGCCCUUUGAGGAAGUCGAGAGUUUGAGAUACAAUAACGUCAGGAGUUUGAAGAGUUCGAGCUAGAUCUUGAUUCGAUUGAUCCACUCAACAUACGAACAACCACACAGGUUUUAUACUUUAAUUAUAAUUUGUUGUAUAACGUAACAUGCUAUAUAAACCAGGUAACUAUAAACUUUAAUAAUUCCAAUAA